rfam:Echinostoma caproni strain Egypt genome assembly, scaffold: ECPE_scaffold0016582
GCACUGCUGAUUAGUCCCAAACAGGAUGAAACAGCUGUCCAGUGC